AUGCAUGAGUAUUUGCCAUACUGUCAGAAGCAGGUUUGGAUGUCCAGCAUAGAUUCAUCUGUCCUGACUUCAGAAUAAAACACCUCACUCCACAAAAAUAUUGUUUCUCUUAACUGGUGCUAAAAUGUAGAUGUGCUCAUGGAAUGAUCUAGCUCAAGAUUAUUCACUACAGAGAGCCUGGGACAGAAAAGAGUUCUGGCUGAGAAAGUGGCCUCUUCCACGUUUGGAUCUGAACAUGUAAUAUAAGAUGAACAUACAUAAAAGACUAAUUUUGUAGGGCUUUUAUCCAGCAAGUAGAAAAACAGUUUCACUCUAUGGAGAAUCCAUUGAGAGAAGUCCAUAGGAAAUCUACACUUUAUUUACUGCAACCAUGAGCUCUGCCUUGCUCAUAGUAAGACCAUAGCUAUCAGACUGUAGGCUGUAUGUAACAGCCUCCAUACAGCCUUACAAAUGUAUGUAAGCAGAAGACAGUCAAAGCACUGCAUAUCUACUGAGUUUGUCUUUUUCAUUUGCAGCCACUACACGCCCACACAGCACUUCAGAAGUAUGUUGGCUGAGUCCUCCUCAAAUGUUUAGUAAUGUGCUGUGUCCAACACUUGUUUGCAUACAUUUAUGUACCUACAUAUCUAUAUAUGCAUUCAUAGAUAAGCCUCUGCUCUUAAAUAUAUACAUACAUACAUAUAUAUGCUUAUGUUCAUCUGUGUGUGAAUGUAUGCAUGUCUAAAAAUAUUCUGUGUAAGUUUAGUGGGCCAGCCCUCUAAGGUAAUCUUGUGUCUGCUCAUCCUUCCUCUAGGCCAAUGUAUUUCACAUCUGUUUUGAAUGAGUAGUAGCAGUCUCCAAAGCAUAUCCUGCUUUAUAACAUCUUUCCUUCUCUGUUGUGGUCUUGUGGCUUCCUAUGAGACACUGUUAUGUUGUCUCUUGUGAAAUGAUUGCAGCAGCUGCCACUCUGAUUGAAAUUCUUGUUGAAGUAAUCUAAAUUCUCAGACUACCAAGAAUGAAAUUAAAUGGGGACUAAUUAAAUGGUCAUAAAAUUAAAAGGAAAGAGAAGAACAUAAAACAUUUUGUUUUGGCCUCACUGGAAGCUGCUACGCUAGAAUCUGUGAGCCCGAUGUUAGCAGAAGUUUGAGAGAGAUGGGCGGAUGUUCAGGCUAUAUAUAGAAGUAUAUAAAGUAUAUAAAGCAUUCCCAGGCAUAAAGUCUGUACUGCUUUGUUGCUGGAGUGGCUUCUGGGUGGUUCCAUUUUAUUUCACCCUUCUCAACGAUUCCCAGGAACUAUUCAGGAUAUGUCAUGAGCCAAGGAGUAUUUUCAGUAACUGGUUUGGAUGUAUCCAACCUACUUCAGAGAGUGAGCAAGUUAAACAGUGUGGGCACGAGCAAUUUUAACCUUGUUGGCCUUCAUGUCCAAACAUAUUUGAUUUCCCGCUACAGAGGUAGCCUUAGGUUUUGGUCUUCACUGAAAAGCCCUCUCAUGCACUUCAAUUUUGUAGCUCAUCAUAUCAGUCCUAUGGUUUCUCUUUGAUUUGAUCAUAUAGGUUACAUCUGUAGCUGGAGAUCACUGAUUAAUGCAUUAAUCUGGCUAUAAGCAUGCUGCUUCUGGUCUGUCAGGUGUCUUCACAGGCACUACCUUCUCUAUGAGCCUCAGAAGGAGGGACCAAAUCAUAGUAAAAGCUGUUACUUCUUUAAAUUCUCCCUUCUAAAGAUCUAGUCAAUGACUCAGAGACCACAAAAGAUACAGCAGCCUGUUUUGAGAUCUUGGGCCUUUUUCAGUUUUCUGAUGAGAAGAUGAAAUAAAAAGUAAUCUGAAAUUACAUU
ensembl:lncRNA